UCCAGAUCUCAGAAUCCUCCCCAAUUGGCCAUCAAUCUAUGGAGCCCCGAUCUCUAUUCCUCGCCGCCCUUCUCGCCGCCGUCUCCCUCACCGCCACUGCCGCCCUCUUCCCCUCCGAUGCCCUCAAUUCCGCCGCUCCCAAGGCCAUCGCUGAUUUGAGGGAGGCUAUUGUGAAGGGGUUGGGGACGCAGGCGGAGGGGGUCAGUUUGACUGGCUUCGACGUGCAGGACGCGCUGGUGGGCCAGGCGUUGUCGUAUGAGUUUUCUAUAGAGGUCAACAAUGAGGAGAUUCCGGUGAGGUUGCUGGAGGAUGUGAGUCGGUGGGAUUUUGUGGAUCUACCGAUUUUUAGAUCUGAGGGGGAGGGGAAGGUGUUGGCGAAGCCGGGGAUGAGGACCGAUGGGGUUGUGCCGGUACUUGCGCCGUUUCAACUUGCGGGGCCGAUGGAGUUGUGGAUUCAGGAUGGGGAUGAUAUGCGGCUAGCUCUUCCGCAUGAUGUGGAUGCUGGUAAGCUGAAGAAGGUCAUCUUAUCAGAUGGCGCAGUGGUGACAGUUAAAGGUGCUAGGUCUGUCAGUCUCCGCCACCCACUUGAAUUACCCCUUCCCCUCAACAGAACCAAUCAUCAGAGCAACCCCUUUGCGUCUGGCCUCCUAACCAUCGCAGAUGCCCUCCGCCAGUCAUCCCGCAAUGAUGAGAUACCCCUCCUCUCCCUCCGCAUUGUCGGCCCCACUUCCAUCACAUCAACUCCUUCGGAGUCUGUCAGUGAUAAGCUUAAGCUCAAACUCCUCGCUCCAGGUCUCGUCCAGCUGUCCUCCCGCUCAAUCCCGUCCGUUACUGAAGACAUGGAUGAAUCUAUG
rnacentral:misc_RNA from 1 species